UAGCAUGCAAUGGUGUUUAACAUUGGAUUAUGCUGACCUGAGUGUUAAAGUUGCUGUUCCGCCAACGCUCCCAAAUGUAACUCUUGUAUAACAAAAUUAGAAACAUUAUUCAUAGGACUGUUAAACGACCAAAACGUUUCCAUAAAUAAUUCUUCAAUCAGUUGCCAUAUGACACAAAAGCAAGCAUUGAAUGUUUCUAUUUUUAUGCAAUUAAAUCUUAGCAUAAAAUUCACUUAUUUUUCAUGUCCUUCCAUGCAAUGGCUAUUGAUAAACCUCCCUCUCUAGAGUAUUACAGGGCCAGACUGAGGAUGAUGAGCACCCGAUCAUAUGGGUAUACCUUGCAUGUUUAAAUUCUGCUUGGAGGCUGUUCCAAUUAUCUACCACCCGCUCAGUAAGGUGCCUUCCGUUACAUCUAAGCCUCUGACCCUCUAGUUUUAGAUUAUGACCUCUUGUUCGAUCAUUUAUCCUGUAUUUCAAUAAACUUCCAUCCUGUA